UACGGAGGGUGCGAGCGUUGUCCGGAAUCAUUGGGCGUAAAGGGCGCGUAGGUGGCCCGCUCAGCGUGCGGUGAAAGCCUGGGGCUCAACCCCGGGUCGGCCGUGCGAACUGGUGGGCUCGAGCACUGUAGAGGCAGGCGGAAUUCCGGGUGUAGCGGUGGAAUGCGUAGAUAUCUGGAGGAACACCGGUGGCGAAGGCGGCUACCUGGACCGGUUCUGACGCUGAGGCGCGAAAGCGUGGGUAGCAAACAGG
rnacentral:rRNA from 1 species